rnacentral:lncRNA from 1 species
CAAGAAUGAAGACCUUUAUGGUGAUCCACUUCUACUUAAUGAAUGGUCCUGGGAUUACAAUGUGAAAAAGACAAACAUAGUCCUUGCCAUGUAGAAUUUAUAGUUUAGUUGGGGAGAUACACAUUGUUCAAGUAAUUAUCACAGAGGAAGAAUAUACGAACCCACCAAAUACAGGGUGAAAUGGGAGUUUGACUAGAAAGAAGGAACUGGCAGGAGAAAAAGGAUAUAAGGAAAAUAAAAUAACACUGACAGAUGGCUUUGGAAUUUGAAGGAGAAAGUUGAUUUCAUAUUUAUAUAUGACGUUGAAAGACUACUGGCAGACAUUGAGAUAGGAACUGACAUAAGCUAAAAAUUGGAAGCUUUUUUUGUCUGUCUUGUUUGCUUUCUUAAAGAAGCUUUCAGAGUAAAUGGAGUGACUAUGGUUUGGGGGAGGUAGGAAGUGAAGUGUAAAGUUGGGGAGUAAAUGGGUAUAACUUGGUGGCAAUUCUACAAGAAGAGUUUGGUUGUGAUCAGGAAAUAAUGAGUAGCUGGAGUUAGGACCCGAAACAAAGGUUCCAGACAGAUGGUGGAAGGCUUUGAAUGAUAGGAUAAGGAACAGAAUUGACUUGAGCAGGUUGUACGGGAUCUGAGUAUCCAAGGGCAGGAUCUGAGCCAGGCAAAUUUUAGGAAAAUAAGAAUUAGAGUGGGAAAGUCUCGAAGCAAGGAAAACAGGUAAGAGACCCUCUGAAUAGUUCAGUUAAUAAGGACCAGGAG